CCUUCGGGGUUGUAAAGCUCUUUUUGUCCGGAGCGAAACGGUUAGCGUGAAUAGCGCUGACUACUGACGGUACCGGAAGAAUAAGCACCGGCUAACUACGUGC
rnacentral:rRNA from 1 species